rnacentral:rRNA from 1 species
ACCUGCCUAUAAGACUGGGAUAACUUCGGGAAACCGGAGCUAAUACCGGAUACGUUCUUYUCUCGCAUGAGAGAAGAUGGAAAGACGGUUUACGCUGUCACUUAUAGAUGGGCCCGCGGCGCAUUAGCUAGUUGGUGAGGUAAUGGCUCACCAAGGCGACGAUGCGUAGCCGACCUGAGAGGGUGAUCGGCCYWCYGGGACUGAGACACGGCCAGACUUCUACGGGAGGCAGCAGUAGGGAAUCUUCCGC